rnacentral:tRNA from 1 species
GCCCUGGUGGUGCAAUGGCUGAACGCUUGGCUGCAAACCAAAAGGUUAGUGGUGUGAACCCACCCAGGGGUU